GUCUAUAGACAUCAAUACCAGCCAGAGUCACCAUCUCAGCAGAGGUGGCCCUAUUCCAAGCCAUAGGUGUGGGUCACAGCACAUAAAAAAAAGAGGCUGCCACCUCUAAUUUCUUUAAAUGUUUCACUCUCUCAACAGAUAUUCCAUUGCAGAGUGGCAAAAUGAAGACUCUGGGACCGAUGUGCCUAGAUUUAAAGCCCCACCUACUUCUUAUUAGUUGCUGGACUUAAAGUUACUGAACCUUUAUGAGCCUCAGCAUUGCUUCUAUAACAUGGGAAUAGAAUAGUACCUCGUCACAGGGUUGUUGGAUUGACUAAAGGAGUAAUACAUGGAAAGCACUUAGAAUAGUGCUGGCACCAGUUUCACUGAUCGUCUUUUGACCAGUUUGUUCCUCAUUCCUAAAACUUGUGUCAUGAAAGUAGUGGAGAUGAGUCUUUCUUGCUAAGUACUACACAGUAUCUCCUGUACAUAUCAUGAUAGUGCCUUUAAGAAGUGGGUGUGCUAAAGGCACCAUUUAGGAGAAAGUGCUGUUCCAUGGAUGUGACUCUGGCAUGUGA